AUUAUACUUAUAUUCCUGUGAUUUCAAAUACCAAAUUGAACUUCAUAUCUUAUAUGCAUAGAAGUCAGUCAUCACAACAAGUUGACUAAGCACUCAGUCACUUUCCAUCCAUUAGAUCCUCAUGCUGUCAAAAGCCUAAAACUCAUGUUUGAAGCACAGCACACAUAUAGUGGAAUGAAAAUGUGUGGAUUUCAGGAUUUCCUAUUACUGCAACAACACAUACCACGCCGCAUCAGAUGCCUUACUAAAUCAUCACCCACAUGAAAAAGGAAAUUUAUCCCACCUGAUAGUAAUGUGGUUGGUUGCUGUAAUUCCAUUAUUACGGUUUUUCAUCAUGAACAUUUCAGUGUGCUUCUUAGAAAAGAGCACUGCACGAACAUCCUUGAGCCAAUGCUGGAUUUGUCCAUGACAGAAGAGGGACUUCCACCAACGUUCUUCUCCAUCCUUAUCUUCAAGACGUACGCUCAUCUAGCUUCACUACUUCAGUGCUUCUUAUGCUUCUAGUCCUGUUACACAACUUUUCUUGCUUCACUGGCGAGUUGGGUCACUUCAGUUGCUGUGACACACCUACAGUCACUCACCACGGGAUUAUGGCCAGGUAAUGCAGAGGAAACGUCGAAAAGAUGGACACCAAAACGUCGCCGGUAUCUCUUAAAUGUCAUCGCGGAUCAUAAUUUGUUGUGGGUAAUAUGUUUUCGUUUGUGUUAGUUAACCCGUUGGCUGCCACGCCUUUGUUCUCCCCUAGCUCCUUAGCACGGGCCG